rnacentral:snRNA from 14 species
AUACUUACCUGGCGUAGGGGUUACCGUGAUCAUUAGGGCGGUUCCCCCGAGGCGAGGCCUUUCCAUUGCAUUAUUUUUUUUUAAUUUAAAAUUGAAAAUAGGUAGGGGAAACAUUUUAUUUAUUUAUUUAUUUAUUUUUAUUUUCUUAGUUUGGC